GACGAACGCUGGCGGCGUGCUUAACACAUGCAAGUCGAGCGGUAAGGCCCUUUCGGGGGUACACGAGCGGCGAACGGGUGAGUAACACGUGGGUGACCUGCCCUCAGCUCUGGGAUAAGCCCUGGGAAACCAGGUCUAAUACCGGAUAUGACUCCAUGACGCAUGUUGUGGGGUGGAAAGCCUUGUGCGGCUGAGGAUGGGCCCGCGGCCUAUCAGCUUGUUGGUGGGGUGAGGCCUACCAAGGCGACGACGGGUAGCCGGCCUGAGAGGGCGACCGGCCACACUGGGACUGAGACACGGCCCAGACUCCUACGGGAGGCAGCAGUGGGGAAUAUUGGACAAUGGGCGCAAGCCUGAUCCAGCGAUGCCGCGUGUGUG
rnacentral:rRNA from 1 species